GUCAUGUCCCAGUCUGUAUCUCGGUAGGAUGGGUACAGGUCAUGGCGUAAGAAGACUGGGGUACCGUCAGGCCAAAGGCAGGCACGGAUAACUGAGUUGGGGAUGUAGCCAUCAGGAGCAAAGGGCCAUUGCCGCCCUUUACCAAAGAAGCCAUGCAGUUUAUGAUAGGGGUUCAACCCAUUCCAGCCAGCCAGCCGUAGUUGAGCAGGAACCACAUGUGGGGGAUGAUUAUGCUUGGUGUCAGGAAUAGAAAAAGCAAUAUCCUUAUCCUCCAAAAAAUGUAAUUUGGGUUCCACUUGAAUCAGAGAAGGCAUACGUCUCUCUUCCUCUACAACAUGGGGCACAGUAUUGUCAAAGGCAAUGACCCGUUUGUUAACAAGGGCCUCUAGCCCCUGUAAUUCCUGCAGCCCUUGUCCAAGAUAGACAAAUUUGGGUACAAGUACUAUUUCAAAAGAAAAGAAGAAGCUAGGCAGAAAGAGUUUAGGGUCUUCUUGUAUUUCAUCUGCAUUAUUUAGGAUAGCUAGGUGAAUCAGCCGAGCAGGAGGGAGCAAUUUUAAGCAUGAUACCAGGUAAAGACUCUGGUUGAAAGUCAAAAGCAGGUCACCCCGAUUAUUGGCAAAGCAGAGUGGACCAAAAUGCAGUGCUGAAUCCAACUCAGUUAUGAGUCUACCAUGGAAGUCCCAGAUCCGGACUGAGCCAUCAAUGCCCCCUGUGACAAAAAGUUUCAGGGAGGAGCAGACAUCAAAUGAAGUGAUGGCACACUGGUGCAGGCAUUUUGUCUCUUCAAACAUAGAGCUUUGUUUUGAUUCUGCAGAUUGCAGAAAAUCUUGAUAGUGCCAGAGACGCCAGCAGUGGUUGUCAGUGAUGGCACCCACAGAACCCGGCAGCAGUAUCACGUGUUGCAGGGGGCAACUACAGAGAAUUUUGCUUAUGGACUGCAGGAUUACCUUGUUCUUCCACAGCAAAGCUUCUGUCAGGUAUACAGUAUUAUCCAUGCCAUAGGAACAGAGCAAGGAGUUUUCCUGGGGACCUUCCAGGGUAGACAGGGCCAAAACUGCCCCAGAAUGAACAGUCUUUUCUAUUCGGGCAUAGCUAUAGUGGGAGAGGAUUCUCACAAUGCCACUGUCUUGCCCACAGAACAUCAGUCCUACUAGGCCCAUACCCAAAUGGGACUGUGCAUAGGCCAGGCAACUUACUCUGUCCCUAGAGUUUACUGAAGUGCAUACCAUAUACUUGGCUGUGCAAGGCGAGCGCGUUGCAUCAAACACCAGCACCUCUGAGCUGCCUGUUGCCACAAAGAGCUCCUCAUUGUCUGGGUCAUAGGCCCAAGCCACAGCCUUAUCCAUGACAAGCAGAGGCCAGGUGAGAACCAGGAGAUCUCCUGUCACUGGAGACAGGAAGCGCAACAAACCAUCCUUAGUGGCACACAGGAUCCGAGUCCAAUUUCGGCCACAGCAGACCCGGUGCACCUGCUCAGGAGCAGAACCACAGACAUUGAAGAGGCUAUAAAAAUAAGGCAGGUGGUGCAGUGAGAAAGCGUGAAUAGUCUGGCAGAAAAAAGUGGUGUUAUCAAUAAACUGCAGUUGCCACAGACCCUCACCAAUAUCCAGCUGCCGCAGCAAGUUCCCAACGGCAAGGUUCCAUUCCCUUACUGUGCCUUCUCGGCCUGCUGUCAGUAAGGUGUGGAUCUCUGGCCGGCUGUGAACACAUAUAACUGAUGAGGAAUGGGCCUGAAAGCUGUGGAGGAAGUUACCCUGGUCUAGACCCCAAGCAUGGAUCUCUCCAUCCUUGUUUCCAGCAUAGAAAUAUCCCUGAGAGACACAAGUGAAGGAGCAGGUGAUGGAAGAGCCACUGCCUAUGGGAGUGAACUUUCUUACCUCUUUCAGCUGGCCCUGACCCUGGUGGGUGAAGACCCUUACCUUAUUCUCACAAAGGGCCAGGAGAGACCCCUUGGGGCCAUUCAGGGAAAAGCCCUGUACAAGCUCAUGACCAGACACGGGCACUGUUUGUGCCAUCUGGAGGUCCCUGCCAUUUGGUAAGAUAAGCCAGGUAACCACAGCCCCCAAGGUACCAGACAGCAGCACCUCCGUUUCUGGGUCAUAGCAGAGGCAGCUGAUGAAGAAACGACAGGGCACUGUGCCCAGGGAUAUGAAUGCUCGAUGGUGAUCUCCAAAGAGCCACAGGUGCAUGUCACCACAGUAAGCAACUAACAUGUGGUAGGAACCUGUGUGGACCAUUGCUUCAAUGGGUGGUACUUGAUCCAUCACACAAAACAUCAUCUUCUCCAUUGUUCCUUCUGCUUCUGUAUUUUUCUUUUGUAUCCAAAGUACUGCCUAGAAGAGGAUGAGAGAUGAAAGUUGGACCAUGGAGGCAGAUGAUCUCCCAAGAGUAAGGGGUAUGAAGGGUUGAAUGUUUAGAUCGCUGUUCCCUCUUGUAAGACUAAGGAAAGACCAAAGAACUUAACUUUGGGAGUUUCCUAAUAC
rnacentral:lncRNA from 1 species